AGAGGUAGUAGGUUGCAUAGUUCGAGGACUGAAAUUUUGGCCCAAAGGAGAUAACUAUACAACUUGCUGCCUUUC
rnacentral:pre_miRNA from 1 species